rnacentral:miRNA from 1 species
GUGAAAGGCCCCGGGUUCGAA